UACGGGAGGCAGCAGUGGGGGAAUAUUGCACAAUGGGCGCAAGCCUGAUGCAGCCAUGCCGCGUGUAUGAAGAAGGCCUUCGGGUUGUAAAGUACUUUCAGUCGUGAGGAAGGUGUUAAGGUUAAUAACCUUAGCAAUUGACGUUAGCGACAGAAGAAGCACCGGCUAACUCCGUGCCAGCAGCCGCGGUAAUACGGAGGGUGCGAGCGUUAAUCGGAAUUACUGGGCGUAAAGGGCACGCAGGCGGUUAAUUAAGUUGGAUGUGAAAUCCCCGGGCUUAACCUGGGAAUGGCAUUCAAGACUGGUUAGCUAGAGUCUUGUAGAGGGGGUUAGAAUUCCAUGUGUAGCGGUGAAAUGCGUAGAGAUGUGGAGGAAUACCGGUGGCGAAGGCGGCCCCUGGACAAAGGACUGACGCUCAUGUGCGAAAGCGUGGGGAGCAAAC
rnacentral:rRNA from 1 species